rnacentral:lncRNA from 1 species
UGCAACUUUAUAUACCAAAUAUACAUUGGCCGCAGUAUGGGCUGUAGUAUAAAUUUUGCUCUAUCUUUACAAACUCAGCAUUUAUGAAUGUUGUAUUGAAACUGGAACUUGAAAAUUGGAUACCUUACAUGUUUAUUACAAAAAAAGUAAGAAAAGAAGUAAAAAAGUCCCUUAUAGGGGUAAAUUCAGUAAAUAAAUAUACGUCAUCAGGGACCGCCCAUUUAGGGGAGAGCUUUCUGUAUAACACUGAAGUCAUAUGCUCUUCUGAUUGGUAGAUAAUGUUUGUAAUAAAUAUUUUUUGGCAGAUGGAUCAAAACUAGAGUUGAAAAAAAAUAAAAAAUAAAUGCUGAAUGUACUAAUUUUUUUUACUACAGGGUUGAAAAGUAUUGGGGGUCAGUUUAGGAAUUCUGUGCGAAUCUACAUUGUUUGUAAACAAGGCCAUGUGAGUGCCCAAAAAUGCCGCAUGACCCUAUGUUUUUAUUAGUGCAAAAGAUAGGGCUACGUUUGUACUUUCAUGAAUGUUAUAUGAAAGUUUCCAAUUUCUAAAGGUAAAUCAGGUAUAAAUUUAAUUUCAUACAUAGAUUAGCAUUAAAGUCAAUGGGAGAUUUUUUACUGAAU